CUUGANCUAACACGACAGCNCGACUGGUUAUGCAUCUUAGCAUUGAGGCCGUUGGUUUCUAUAAGGUCUCAACACUGGACCGCUCGGUCUUGUACAGGCCUAACACAUGCAAGUCGAACGGUAACAGGAAGCAGCUUGCUGCUUUGCUGACGAGUGGCGGACGGGUGAGUAAUGUCUGGGAAACUGCCUGAUGGAGGGGGAUAACUACUGGAAACGGUAGCUAAUACCGCAUAACGUCGCAAGACCAAAGAGGGGGACCUUCGGGCCUCUUGCCAUCGGAUGUGCCCAGAUGGGAUUAGCUAGUAGGUGUGGGUAACGGCUCACCUAGGCGACGAUCCCUAGCUGGUCUGAGAGGAUGACCAGCCACACUGGAACUGAGACACGGUCCAGACUCCUACGGGAGGCAGCAGUGGGGAAUAUUGCACAAUGGGCGCAAGCCUGAUGCAGCCAUGCCGCGUGUAUGAAGAAGGCCUUCGGGUUGUAAAGUACUUUCAGCGGGGAGGAAGGUGUAUGAGGUUAAUAACCUCAGCAAUUGACGUUACCCGCAGAAGAAGCACCGGCUAACUCCGUGCCAGCAGCCGCGGUAAUACGGACGGGUGCAAGCGUUAAUCGGAGUUACUGGGCGUAAAGCGCACGCAGGCGGGGNUGUUCAAGUNNGGAUUUUGAAUUCCCCGGGGGUNUCACACCUGGGGANACUGGCANUUUNCGAAAACUUGGGCCAGGGCUAAAGAAGNUCUCUNUGUCAAAACGCGGCGCGGGGUUCACAACUUCCCCAGGUGUGUGAAAGCCGGUGAAAAUGCGUUUAGAAGCAUCCUGGGCAGGAAACACCGGUGGCNAAAGGCAGCCCCCCUUNAACAAAGACCUGACGUCACAGUUCUACAAAACGNUUGGGGCCANCAUGAUAUGAUANACCCGGUGAACUNCACCCUCAUACANAAAAUGUCCGGAGG
rnacentral:rRNA from 1 species